rnacentral:RNase_P_RNA from 1 species
CCAGGGGACCGGGCAGCCGCGUGCCGCGAGGCACGAGGAAAGUCCGGGCUCCACGAAACGAGGGUGGCGGGUAACGCCCGCCCGGCGAAGCGCCCUUCGGGGCGUAAGCCGAGGGAAAGUGCCACAGAGAGCAUACCGCCGAUGGCCCGCUUGCGGGCUCAGGCAAGGGUGAAAGGGUGCGGUAAGAGCGCACCGGGGCUUCGGCAACGCGGUCCGCAUGGCAAACCCCACCCGGAGCAAGGCCGAAUAGGGGCGGCGCGUCCGUGCAAGCGGGCAGGUGCGUUUCGCAUCGACCGCCCGGGUUGGCUGCUGGAGCCGCGGAGCAAUCCGCGGCCUAGACGAAUGGCUGCCCCCGCGCGGCUGGUGUGCAAGCAUACCGCGUGCGGGACAGAACCCGGCUUACAGGUCCCCUGGCAAU